rnacentral:rRNA from 1 species
AACGAACGCUGGCGGCAGGCCUAACACAUGCAAGUCGAACGCCGUAGCAAUACGGAGUGGCAGACGGGUGAGUAACGCGUGGGAACAUACCCCUCGGUUCGGAAUAACUCAGGGAAACUUGAGCUAAUACCGGAUACGUCCGAGGUUUUAAUCGACCUUGGAGAAAGAUUUAUCGCCGGAGGAUUGGCCCGCGUCUGAUUAGCUUGUUGGUGAGGUAAUGGCUCACCAAGGCGACGAUCAGUAGCUGGUCUGAGAGGAUGAUCAGCCACAUUGGGACUGAGACACGGCCCAAACUCCUACGGGAGGCAGCAGUGGGGAAUAUUGGACAAUGGGCGAAAGCCUGAUCCAGCCAUGCCGCGUGAGUGAUGAAGGCCUUAGGGUUGUAAAGCUC